AUCCAACUGAUGUGUCUUAGGUAAAACGAAACACGCGUCCUGGAU
rnacentral:hammerhead_ribozyme from 1 species